GAUGAACGCUGGCGGCGUGCCUAAUACAUGCAAGUCGAGCGAACAGACGAGGAGCUUGCUCCUCUGACGUUAGCGGCGGACGGGUGAGUAACACGUGGAUAACCUACUUAUAAUACUGGGAUAACUUCGGGAAACCGGAGCUAAUACCGGAUAAUAUAUUGAACCGCAUGGUUCAAUAGUGAAAGACGGUUUUGCUGUCACUUAUAGAUGGAUCCGCGCCGCAUUAGCUAGUUGGUAAGGUAACGGCUUACCAAGGCGACGAUGCGUAGCCGACCUGAGAGGGUAAUCGGCCACACGGGAACUGAGACACGGUCCAGACCCCUAGGGAAGGCAGAAGUAGGGAAUCUUCCGCAAGGGGCGAAAGCCGGACGGGGCAACGCCGCGGGAGUGAGGAAGGUCUUCGGUUCGUAAAACUCUGUUAUGAGGGAAAAAAAAAUGUGUAAGAAACUAUGCUCGUCUGGCGGGAACCUAAGCAGAAAGCCACGGCAAAUUACGG
rnacentral:rRNA from 1 species